rnacentral:rRNA from 1 species
CCUACGGGAGGCAGCAGUGAGGAAUAUUGGUCAAUGGCCGAGAGGCUGAACCAGCCAAGUCGCGUGAGGGAAGACGGCCCUACGGGUUGUCAACCUCUUUUGUAGGGGAGCAAAGCGAACCACGUGUGGUUCAUUGAGAGUACCCGAAGAAAAAGCAUCGGCUAACUCCGUGCCAGCAGCCGCGGUAAUACGGAGGAUGCGAGCGUUAGCCGGAUUUAGUGGGUUUAAAGGGUGCGCAGGCGGAGGUGCACGUCAGCGGUCAAAUGGCGGGGCUCAACCCCGUACUGCCGUUGAAACUGCAGCCCGUGAGUGCGCGAGAAGUAUGCGGAAUGCGGGGUGUAGCGGUGAAAUGCAUAGAUAUCACGCAGAACUCCGAUUGCGAAGGCAGCAUACCGGCGCGCAACUGACGCUCAUGCACGAAAGCGUGGGUAUCGAACAGGAUUAGAUACCCCAGUAGUC